UGCCAGCCGCCGCGGUAAUACUGAAGGUGCAAGCGUUAAUCGGAAUCACUGGGCGUAAAGCGCUCGUAGGUGGCUUUGUAAGUCAGAUGUGAGAGUCCACGGCUCAACCGUGGAAUUGCAUUUGAUACUGCAUCGCUAGAGUAUAGGAGAGGGAAGUGGAAUUUCUGGUGUAGGAGUGAAAUCCGUAGAGAUCAGAAGGAAUACCAGAGGCGAAGGCGACUUUCUGGAUCAAAACUGACGCUGAGAGACGAAAGCAUGGGUAGCGAACAGGAUUAGAUA
rnacentral:rRNA from 1 species